CCUACGGGCGGCAGCAGUGGGGGAUAUUGCACAAUGGGGGGAACCCUGAUGCAGCGACGCCGCGUGGGUGAAGGAGCGUUUCGGCGCGUAAAGCCCUAUCGGCAGGGAAGAAGGAGGACGGUACCUGACUAAGAAGCCCCGGCUAACUACGUGCCAGCAGCCGCGGUAAUACGUAGGGGGCAAGCGUUAUCCGGAUUUACUGGGUGUAAGGGGGGCGCAGAAGGCAGCGCAAGCCAGGAGUGAAAGCCCGGGGCCCAACCCGGGGACGGCUCUUGGAACUGCGCGGCUGGAGUGCGGGGGGGGCGGGGGGAAUGCGGGGUGGAGCGGUGAAAUGCGUAGAUAUCAGGAGGAACACCGGUGGCGAAGGCGGCCUGCUGGACAGCGACUGACGUUGAGGCCCGAAAGCGUGGGGAGCAAACAGGAUUAGAUACCCGAGUAGUC
rnacentral:rRNA from 1 species